UACGGAGGGUGCGAGCGUUGUCCGGAAUCAUUGGGCGUAAAGGGCGCGUAGGUGGCCUGGUCAGCGUGCGGUGAAAGCUCGGGGCUCAACCCCGAGUCGGCCGUGCGAACUGCUGGGCUGGAGCACUGUAGAGGCAGGCGGAAUUCCGGGUGUAGCGGUGGAAUGCGUAGAGAUCCGGAAGAACACCGGUGGCGAAGGCGGCCUGCUGGGGCAGUUGCUGACACUGAGGCGCGACAGCGUGGGGGAGCAAACAGG
rnacentral:rRNA from 1 species